rnacentral:rRNA from 1 species
UACGUAGGGGGCUAGCGUUGUCCGGAAUCAUUGGGCGUAAAGAGCGUGUAGGCGGCUAUACAGGUCCGUUGUGAAAACUCGAGCUCAACCUCGAGACGCCGAUGGAAACCGUAUGGCUAGAGUCCGGAAGAGGAGAGUGGAAUUCCUGGUGUAGCGGUGAAAUUCGUAGAUAUUCGGAAGAACACCAGUGGCGAAGGCGACUUACUGGACACAUAUUGACGCUGAGGUGCGAAAGCGUGGGGAGCAAACAGGG